GACGAACGCUGGCGGCGUGCUUAACACAUGCAAGUCGAACGGAAAGGCCCUGCUUUUGUGGGGUGCUCGAGUGGCGAACGGGUGAGUAACACGUGAGUAACAUGCCCUUGACUUUGGGAUAACUUCAGGAAACUGGGGCUAAUACCGGAUAGGAGCUCCUGCUGCAUGGUGGGGGUCGGAAAGUUUCGGCGGUUGGGGAUGGACUCGCGGCUUAUCAGCUGGUUGGUGGGGUAGUGGCUUACCAAGGCUUUGACGGGUAGCCGGCCUGGGAGGGUGACCGGCCUCAUUGGGACUGAGAUACGGCCCAGACUCCUACGGUAGGCAGCAGUGGGGAAUAUUGCACAAUAGGCGGAAGCCUGAUGCAGCAACGCCGCGUGCGGGAUGACGGCCUUCGGGUUGUAAACCGCUUUCGCCUGUGACGAAGCGUGAGUGACGGUAAUGGGUAAAGAAGCACCGGCUAACUACGUG
rnacentral:rRNA from 1 species